rnacentral:ribozyme from 1 species
UUUGUUUGUAGUUCUGUAAAAGGGUUGGAUCCGACGCCCCUAGAAGGCUACUAUAGGCUCUCCUUCUCAACUCCUACUCAAUACGUCCACGUCGUGCAGAACGGUAACUUGUCGCCUAGAUCCAAGCUUGGGUACACGGGGAAACCCAACCCCUUGGGCGGAUGGGCGGCAAGGCUGAAUUGAGAGGU